rnacentral:rRNA from 1 species
UACGGGGGGGGCAAGCGUUGUUCGGAAUUACUGGGCGUAAAGGGCUCGUAGGCGGCCAACUAAGUCAGACGUGAAAUCCCUCGGCUUAACCGGGGAACUGCAUCUGAUACUGGAUGGCUUGAGAUUGGGAGAGGGAUGCGGAAUUCCAGGUGUAGCGGUGAAAUGCGUAGAUAUCUGGAGGAACACCGGUGGCGAAGGCGGCAUCCUGGGCCGGUAUUGACGCUGAGGAGCGAAAGCCAGGGGAGCAAACGGG